rnacentral:lncRNA from 1 species
UUCCGGGUUGGAUGGCGGAAGAGAGGAAGCAGGAAAGAGUUAUGUCUUUUUGGAUAGGGAUACGUGAGGACAAGAUAUAGCUACUAGAGUCUCCCGGUUUCAAUGGCGGUACUGUCAGGAUUCACCACUAGAGGCUUUAGAUUUAACAAGCCUUAUGAGAUUAGGAUUUUAGUUGUUACCAUUGUUUCUGAACUAAGUCUGUGUUGCGUUUUUCCUUCACAGUGGCUCAUCUGGGUUCAAGAGAGAAAGGACUCGAAGAGACCGCCUUUACAACUCCAGGGAAAGCUGUUGACACAGACUCCUGGUUCUGCUUGACAUCUUUCUUCUCAGGAUAAGCGGGUUCCACGUCUCAACUUAUGAAAAACACUAGCAGCAAGGGCUCACGUCUUUUGCUUUCUUUCAUGUUAAAUGAAAUUCCAAAGUGAUUUUUAGAUGCAGCCACAACGCGACCUUAUAGAAAGAUCUUGAAAUCCGACGUAAAGACCUUUUCUAUUGGUGAAGGCAGCCAUGCGACCGAGGAAUAAAAUUACGUUCGGCUGGAAACAGGGACUGAAGCGGUUUGUCCUCCCUAAGACGUUUCUAGCAAACGCAGGAGUUGGACGGCCUUGUCUGUAAUGUGCUGACCGUCCACCUAGGGACAAUGUGACCAUUUGGUUUUUGGCUGCUAUCUGAAAUGAGUUUGAGUGUCUCAGCUCAUUUCAUGAGAAACACAAAUAAAGGCCACAUAAUAAAACAUGCAAUUUGGGAUUAUUGCCAGUCUCUAUUCAGAAGGUGCCCAGACCUCAAUUUCUGAAAACGAAAUUCUGUUCCACAUAGAUAGAAGCUCCUGGACUUCCAGACCGGCUCCAGUGGAGUCACGGGAAGGAAGAAGAGGAAAUUGUAAACCACGAGGCAUCAUGCCAGAGGAAAUGCCUCCGGUGACCCAGACUGAAUGCCCUAUGGUCUCAAAGACCCCACAUUCAAACUGCACGAUGUCUGGGUGUGCUUGACUCCAAGUCUCAGGCAGGGGCUAUCCUCUGUCUCUGCUUUUCCAUACCAUGCUCUCUGCUGUAUAUCUUCCUUAAGCUGCGUAAUAAAGAAUGAUAAGGGCU